AUUGAACGCUGGCGGCAUGCCUUACACAUGCAAGUCGAACGGCAGCACGGGGCAACCUGGUGGCGAGUGGCGAACGGGUGAGUAAUGCAUCGGAACGUGCCAUUGAGUGGGGGAUAACGUAGCGAAAGUUGCGCUAAUACCGCAUAUUCUGUGAGCAGGAAAGCAGGGACCGCAAGGCCUUGCGCUCUUUGAGCGGCCGAUGUCAGAUUAGCUAGUUGGUGAGGUAACGGCUUACCAAGGCGACGAUCUGUAGCGGGUCUGAGAGGAUGAUCCGCCACACUGGAACUGAGACACGGUCCAGACUCCUACGGGAGGCAGCAGUGGGGAAUUUUGGACAAUGGGCGCAAGCCUGAUCCAGCCAUGCCGCGUGAGUGAAGAAGGCCUUCGGUUGUAAAGACUCUUUCGGCCGGGAAGGAAAUCGCAUGGGUUAAGUACCCUGUGUGGAUGACGGUACCGGAAUAAGAAGACACCGG
rnacentral:rRNA from 1 species